CGCGUAGUCGGUUUGGUCAGUCGGAUGUGAAAGCCCCGGGCUUAACCUGGGAAUUGCAUUCGAUACUGCCAGACUAGAGUGUAGUAGAGGGAAGCGGAAUUCCAGGUGUAGCGGUGAAAUGCGUAGAUAUCUGGAGGAACAUCAGUGGCGAAGGCGGCUUCCUGGACUAACACUGACGCUGAGGUGCGAAAGCGUGGGGAGCAAACA
rnacentral:rRNA from 1 species